rnacentral:rRNA from 1 species
GACGAACGCUGGCGGCGUGCUUAACACAUGCAAGUCGAACGGAAAGGCCCUGCUUGCCGGGUACUCGAGUGGCGAACGGGUGAGUAACACGUGGGUGAUCUGCCCUGCACUUCGGGAUAAGCCUGGGAAACUGGGUCUAAUACCGGAUAGGAGCCAUUUUUAGUGUGAUGGUUGGAAAGUUUUUUCGGUGUAGGAUGAGCUCGCGGCCUAUCAGCUUGUUGGUGGGGUAUUGGCCUACCAAGGCGGCGACGGGUAGCCGGCCUGAGAGGGUGGACGGCCACAUUGGGACUGAGAUACGGCCCAGACUCCUACGGGAGGCAGCAGUGGGGAAUAUUGCACAAUGGGCGCAAGCCUGAUGCAGCGACGCCGCGUGGGGGAUGACGGCCUUCGGGUUGUAAACUCCUUUCGCUAGGGACGAAGCUUUUUGUGACGGUACCUAGAUAAGAAGCACCGGCUAACUACGUG